AGGGGGACUGAGGUCUCUGAGGGGGGCCGGGGGACUGAGGUCUCUGAGGGGGGCCGGGGGGCUGAGGUCUCUGAGGGGGGCCGGGGGACUGAGGUCUCUGAGGGGGGCAGGGGGACUGAGGAGAGGGACUGAGGCUGUGAGCAAACUACUGCAUUGGGCUUCUAUUGCCGCAGUGUGUGUGCUCAAACUAGUCCAACCCCCCCUUACCCAUCAGAUGUACUGCUGCCUGCAUUCAGAAAAAUACCUCAUCAAUGACUGCGUCUCAUCGCACGCGACCCGCAUCAUUGAACAAACCCAAGCCCCCACAUCGCAGUGCCUGUGUUGUAUUGUACUCUGCUGUGUUCCUAGGCCGCCACAAACAUGCUAGCUCAAUUUGGUUUUAAGGAGCAAAGAGACGGAGGAGAAAAUAGGGGAAGAGAGUAGGAGAGUGGGCUGGCGGUUGGGAAGACGGAUCAAUGAACCAAUGAACAAAGGGUAGCGAUGAUUGUGGGCUAGAGAGGAACGGAGGGGGGGGGGGGUUAUAGACAACAGAAAGCAUCUUAAGGGCAGACCAUACAAAAUACUUUCCAUUGGUUGGAGCCACACAGCACUUGGGGUCAGGCAGAUAGGGUGUGUGUGAUGAUAAUGACAGGAGUGAGUUGCCGAGCUCUUCACUGCUGAAACCUUUCAGCUCUUGUUUUGUCAUUUUGUGUGUUCACUAAGUUCACUAAUGCAUAUUUUAAAUUGGAUAUAUGUUGCAAUAUUAUAACACUCCUUUGUAUAGUCAUUAUUUGUGUAUUCAUCUCUAAGAAUAACACACAUAAUAUAUGUGGUCUUAAAUAAAUAUAUGUAAUUAAAACUGAUUAUAAGCAUAGUCCAGCUCAUAACUAACAACAAAGUGUUUUAGUUGAUGUUUCCUUUACCAUUUUGAAUUAACAUGACCGUUGAGUAUGAUAUUUAUAUUAAAGUACUUAUUUUUCUCCAACUGUUUGUAUUUUCUGUCUUUUAAAGAUAAAACUUCUCUUCCAACCUGAAAUAAGACUGGAUUUUGGUACAAUACACUAUCCGUAUUAACGUUUUGAAAGUUUUGCUGUCCGUGUUUUCCUACCUUGUACAACACUCCUGGGUUUGCAAUUUAAAUAUAUUUCCGGUUUUUUAAACAUU